ensembl:misc_RNA
UGGAAUCAAAACCAAGGCACAUUGAAUUCCUCAUAGUACCAUCUUUGGGCUACUCAGGAACCAAAACUUUUCACGCCAAUUUAAGAAAUUAUACUAAGGAAUCCCUUUACCUAACCAUCUGACAAGGCUUCAACCAGAUUCUGGGAAGGACCUCUUGACACAUCAAAUAGAACCUA